rnacentral:rRNA from 1 species
CCUACGGGAGGCAGCAGUGGGGAAUCUUAGACAAUGGGCGCAAGCCUGAUCUAGCCAUGCCGCGUGAUCGAUGAAGGCCUUAGGGUUGUAAAGAUCUUUCGUGGGGGAAGAUAAUGACGGUACCCCAAGAAGAAGCCCCGGCUAACUCCGUGCCAGCAGCCGCGGUAAUACGGAGGGGGCUAGCGUUAUUCGGAAUUACUGGGCGUAAAGCGCACGUAGGCGGAUUGGAAAGUCAGAGGUGAAAUCCCAGAGCUCAACUUUGGAACUGCCUUUGAAAACUCCCAGUCUUGAGGUCGAGAGAGGUGAGUGGAAUUCCGAGUGUAGAGGUGAAAUUCGUAGAUAUUCGGAGGAACACCAGUGGCGAAAGGCGGCUCACUGGCUCGAUACUGACGCUGAGGUGCGAAAAGCGUGGGGAGCAAACAGGAUUAGAUACCCUGGUAGUCCACGCCGUAAACGAAUGAAUGCCAGUCGUCGGGUAGCAUGCUAUUCGGUGACACACCUAAACGGAUUAAAGCAUUCCGCCUGGGGAGUACGGCCGCAAGGUUAAAAACUACAAAAGGAAAUUGACGGCNGAGAGNGCGAGACGACACGAGGAGGAGG